AGAGGUCACAAGUUUCAGGCCACACCAAAAGCACACACAGUGUGGCCCUGUCAGAUUCCGAUGAAUCUGUGAAUUCUGCU
ensembl:ribozyme